rnacentral:misc_RNA from 1 species
GAAUUGCGAUAUGUAAUGUGAAUUGCAGAAUUCAGUGAAUCAUCGAAUCUUUGAACGCACCUUGCACCCUCUGGCAUUCUGGAGGGUAUGCCUGUUUGAGUGUCAUUAAUCUCUCAACACAAGAGAUUUUGUAUCUUGUGCUUGGAUAUUGAAGGUUUUGCUGGCGCAAACAACUGUCAGCUCCUUUUAAAUGUAUUAGCAGAGCAGUGUUAGGACUGGCCUCAGUUUGAUAAGAAAUUUUUAUCUAUGCUGUCGCUGGGUUCCCUCUUUGUGCUUUGCUUCAAAUUGUCUUUGGACUGCCUCUCAAGGCAAUAACAUCCUUAUUGAUCGACCUCAAAUCAGGUAGGACUACCCGCUGAACUUAA